AUUGAAUGCUGGCGGCAUGCCUUACACAUGCAAGUCGAACGGCAGCGCGGACUUCGGUCUGGCGGCGAGUGGCGAACGGGUGAGUAAUACAUCGGAACGUACCCUGUUGUGGGGGAUAACUAGUCGAAAGAUUAGCUAAUACCGCAUACGACCUGAGGGUGAAAGUGGGGGACCGCAAGGCCUCACGCAGCAGGAGCGGCCGAUGUCUGAUUAGCUAGUUGGUGGGGUAAAGGCCCACCAAGGCGACGAUCAGUAGCUGGUCUGAGAGGACGAUCAGCCACACUGGGACUGAGACACGGCCCAGACUCCUACGGGAGGCAGCAGUGGGGAAUUUUGGACAAUGGGGGCAACCCUGAUCCAGCAAUGCCGCGUGUGUGAAGAAGGCCUUCGGGUUGUAAAGUACUUUUGUCCGGAAAGAAAUCGCGCUGGUUAAUACCUGGCGUGGAUGACGGUACCGGAAGAAUAAGCACCGGCUAACUACGUGCCAGCAGCCGCCGUAA
rnacentral:rRNA from 1 species